CGAACGCUGGCGGCGUGCUUAACACAUGCAAGUCGAACGGAAAGGCCCUGCUUUUGUGGGGUGCUCGAGUGGCGAACGGGUGAGUAACACGUGAGUAACCUGCCCUUGACUUUGGGAUAACUUCAGGAAACUGGGGCUAAUACCGGAUAGGAGCUCCUGCUGCAUGGUGGGGGUUGGAAAGUUUCGGCGGUUGGGGAUGGACUCGCGGCUUAUCAGCUUGUUGGUGGGGUAGUGGCUUACCAAGGCUUUGACGGGUAGUCGGCCUGAGAGGGUGACCGGCCACAUUGGGACUGAGAUACGGCCCAGACUCCUACGGGAGGCAGCAGUGGGGAAUAUUGCACAAUGGGCGGAAGCCUGAUGCAGCAACGCCGCGUGCGGGAUGAUGGCCUUCGGGUUGUAAACCGCUUUCGCCUGUGACGAAGCGUGAGUGACGGUAAUGGGUAAAGAAGCACCGGCUAACUACGUG
rnacentral:rRNA from 1 species